rnacentral:rRNA from 1 species
AUACGUAGGUGGCGAGCGUUGUCCGGAUUUACUGGGCGUAAAGAGCCCGCAGGCGGCUCGGCAAGUUUCAGGUGAAAUCUCCCGGCUCAACUGGGAGGGGUCCUGGAAAACUGCUGGGCUAGAGGCAGGGAGAGGGAUGUGGAAUUCCCGGUGUAGUGGUGAAAUGCGUAGAUAUCGGGAGGAACACCAGUGGCGAAGGCGGCAUCCUGGCCCUGUCCUGACGCUGAGGGGCGAAAGCGUGGGGAGCAAACCGGAUUAGAUACCCGGGUAGUCCACGCCGUAAACGAUGAGUACUAGGUGUGGGGGGUAUCGACCCCCUCCGUGCCGAAGCUAACGCGAUAAGUACUCCGCCUGGGGACUACGGCCGCAAGGCUAAA